rnacentral:lncRNA from 1 species
GCCACCAACACGAACGUCUAACUAGAACCUGAAAGGGCGCAAAAAAAAAAAAAAAUGAGGGGCAAAAACAAAGCUUUUUAAAACCAUUUCUAUUUCAAAAAAUAAUAACCCCUCACCGUAAAACCAGUAUAAUUUCCUAGAAAUUAGUAAUACAUAUGUAUGUAGAAAUCAUGCUCGAGAGUAGUGAAAACCAAGUAUAUGCCAUGUCAAGUAUCUCAGCAAUGAAAUGAGUAAGCCAGAUGAAAUAAAUCAAUGUAAACUGAUAUGUCAGCCGGAGUCACCUAACAUAACCUGUACGGCUGAGCCUAUAGCUCAUCUACCAAUUCUUGCACACGAGUCGGAACCACCUAAUGUGGUUUGUACGACAGGCUGGGUGUAAAUAAAUACGCUCAAGUGCUAUGAUUACGUGAAGGAUGUGCGUAGUAUCGCAAGUCACCUACGAGUUGGAACCACCUAAUCUGGUAUGUAUGUACGACAGGCUGGCACCUGCCUUGAAUCCAAGGUGAGCAUGUGGUGCGGGAGGUGAACGAUCAUGUGAAGGCUAGGC